rnacentral:rRNA from 1 species
AUACGGAGGGUCCAAGCGUUAUCCGGAAUCAUUGGGUUUAAAGGGUCCGCAGGCGGUCAAUUAAGUCAGAGGUGAAAGCCCAUCGCUCAACGAUGGAACUGCCUUUGAUACUGGUUGACUUGAGUUAUACGGAAGUGGAUAGAAUAAGUAGUGUAGCGGUGAAAUGCAUAGAUAUUACUUAGAAUACCGAUUGCGAAGGCAGUCUACUACGUAUAUACUGACGCUGAGGGACGAAAGCGUGGGGAGCGAACAGGAUUAGAAACCCUAGUAGUCC